rnacentral:rRNA from 1 species
UCCUACGGGAGGCAGCAGUGGGGAAUAUGGACGAGGCACCAAAGCCUGAUCCAGCCAUGCCGGUUGUGCAAAAAGGUUUUGGGAUUUAAACCAUUUUAAGUUGGAAGGAAGGGCAGUAAUUUAAUCCCGGGGUCUGACGUACCGCAGAAUAGACCCCGAUUGGA